UGAUCUUGGGNUUCCAGUUGAACGCUGGCGGCAGGCCUAACACAUGCAAGUCGAGCGGUAGAGAGAAGCUUGCUUCUCUUGAGAGCGGCGGACGGGUGAGUAAUGCCUAGGAAUCUGCCUGGUAGUGGGGGAUAACGUUCGGAAACGGACGCUAAUACCGCAUACGUCCUACGGGAGAAAGCAGGGGACCUUCGGGCCUUGCGCUAUCAGAUGAGCCUAGGUCGGAUUAGCUAGUUGGUGAGGUAAUGGCUCACCAAGGCGACGAUCCGUAACUGGUCUGAGAGGAUGAUCAGUCACACUGGAACUGAGACACGGUCCAGACUCCUACGGGAGGCAGCAGUGGGGAAUAUUGGACAAUGGGCGAAAGCCUGAUCCAGCCAUGCCGCGUGUGUGAAGAAGGUCUUCGGAUUGUAAAGCACUUUAAGUUGGGAGGAAGGGCAGUUACCUAAUACGUGAUUGUUUUGACGUUACCGACAGAAUAAGCACCGGCUAACUCUGUGCCACGCC
rnacentral:rRNA from 1 species